UACGUAGGGUGCAAGCGUUGUCCGGAAUCAUUGGGCGUAAAGAGCGUGUAGGCGGCUUGGUAGGUCCGCUGUGAAAACUCGAGGCUCAACCUCGAGAUGUCGGCGGAAACCACUUGGCUAGAGUCCGGAAGAGGAGAGUGGAAUUCCUGGUGUAGCGGUGAAAUGCGCAGAUAUCAGGAAGAACACCUAUGGCGAAGGCAGCUCUCUGGGACGGUACUGACGCUGAGACGCGAAAGCGUGGGGAGCGAACAGG
rnacentral:rRNA from 1 species